rnacentral:misc_RNA from 1 species
CAUAAGGUACCGGACAUACUUGACCUUCGAUUUCAGCACGUGUGAUCUUCGAACCAUCUCAAUGAUCAUCUGCCUUAGUUAGGGAAUAAACUGAGUAACUGUGAGCAACUAAGUCACCCAAGGCGAGAUGGCAAAGAGUAUCCGCAGCAAACGGAUGAGAAAACUGCGAGCGAUCAAGAGGACCAGAAACGCUCCCCGGGAGGCUAAACGACUGAAGAAGAUUUUGGGACUGCUGAAGCCAGAGGAGGAUGACCCUGAGAAGAACGUCUACAAGUUCAGCGAUGUCCGAGAUAUGAUUCUGAACAAGCCCACAGUAAAUCAAGCCUCAGGAACAGCAUAUGACCUGCGAUUUGUCCCCGACAGAGAUAAGAUCAAGACAGAUGCAGCGCAGCCAGAAGAGACCACGAUGGAUGAUGACACAGAAAAUAAAUCAGUGACUGACCCAGAGCGGCAGGAGACCAUGGAAGCCAUGGAAGAAGACGGUGAAGCCAAACCAAAACAGAAAGGACUCCAGAAUGAGCACGGCAACUACCCAAUCUGGAUGAGCCACCGCAGAAUCAAGAAAAUAACCCGGAAAGGCAGACCGAACCAGUAUAAACUCAAACGGGCAGGCACUGGCAAAACAUUUUGACUUACAGAUUUCUUUUAAUUUAAUUUAAAAAAAAAAAAAAACAACCACACUCACGACACUAUUCCACAGCGAGUUACCAGCAAGUUCUUGCUCAAAUUUGAAUACUGAAAGCAGGUUCAGAUUUCAAAGCGAACACCGGUAGGUCGAAUGGCCUGUUAAAAUUGAGUUCCUGACUUGGCCCAAAAUUAUAUGACAGCUUGAUCUGUUACCAACACAGUUGAGGACAGCACCAGUUUACAAUACAGUGACUUUUGUUUUUAUUACACUUUUCCUUCUUUGUACAAUACUUAUGUGGGGCAGUAUUAGGUCAUUACUGCCAAUAUCGCCUCGUUUGUGACAAGACUUAAACUCACGUCCUCUACUUGAUGGACAAAUUUCAGCUCUCCCCAUUUCAUGUGGUAUUUGCUGUGAGACAUUGGCUCUAGUAACAACCAUUCACUUUACUUGCAAAAUAAAAUUAUACAAUGUAAAACUCUGAUAUAAUUCUGUAUGAUCCACAAAGUUACAUACAACAUAAUUUCCUUCAUACGAAAUUUAAUACAAUUUGGUAUUUAUUAAUUGCGUUACAAUUCCAGAAAAAGCUAAUUCCCCCCCAUGCCCUCUGAAAAUUUUGUAAUCUCCUGAAAAUCCAGUUGAGGUUUUAAAGUAAAUUGGCAUCUGAGUGUUUGAAAAAAUUUCUUAAAAAUUGAAACACCUGAAUAUUUACAACAAUGAUCGUAAUUCACAAAUAUCUAAAUGCUCAAUAUGAAAAGAUUGUGUAAAAAAGUACUACAUGCUGUCCAUUUAAUUUUUAUAUUCCCGCAAGAAAGACAUUCAAAAGUUCCUGUACAAAAUUCACUAAGUACCAUACAUGUAGGAAUAUGCAAAGGCCUCUGAUCCUUGAUUGAAAAAAAUCCCCCCGACAAUCAAGAAGGAAAACCUGAUAACUUACAUUUUACAGAAAGUUCUAACCCCGAGAGUACGAGCAAGUUUUUUGCUUAAAUUGGAGGGUUCCGGAAAGUGAGAAUUAUUGUUGUCCAUGUACUCCAAAACAAGCUCAGAACGCUUGAAGGCUGAAGAAAUCUAGACUAUCCUUAUGAUACAGUGUGUUCUUAACGAGACUUGUGGGUUUGCACGGUGGACAUGAACAAAGUGUGGCAGGUUUGUGGUAACAUCACGGAGGAUAACCUCUGUUUCGAGUUACGUGGUUCUCAGAGGAACCAGUUGUUUUGGUUUGCACUGUGGACAUGAACAAAGUGUGGCAGGUUUGUGGUAACAUCAUGGAGGUUAACCUCUGUUUUGAGUUACAUGGUUCUCAGAGGAACCAGCUGUUUCAACUUGAUAUUUCAAACUGUUUACUCUGUUCUUCAUCAGAGAAGAAUGUGCUCUUACUUUUUCACACAAAGUAUGACAAAAUUAAAAGUUGGAUAGAUUA